rnacentral:rRNA from 1 species
GUGCCAGCCGCCGCGGUAAUACGUAGGGUGCAAGCGUUAAUCGGAAUUACUGGGCGUAAAGCGUGCGCAGGCGGUUCGCUAAGACAGAUGUGAAAUCCCCGGGCUUAACCUGGGAACUGCAUUUGUGACUGGCGGGCUAGAGUAUGGCAGAGGGGGGUAGAAUUCCACGUGUAGCAGUGAAAUGCGUAGAGAUGUGGAGGAAUACCGAUGGCGAAGGCAGCCCCCUGGGCCAAUACUGACGCUCAUGCACGAAAGCGUGGGGAGCAAACAGGAUUAGAUACCCUGG